AGAGGAGCCAGCCCUGCCCUGUGGCUCUGGAGCUGCCAGGCCCAAGCUCUUGGAAGACCCUCAUCAAGGCUUCUCAAGUGGACCCUGGAAGCUGUGCCAAUGAGGCUGCUACAAAACCUUUUGGCUCCCAUGGGGAAUGGAGUUUAAGCCAUGACACCUUCUGCAGCUGCCCCCCGUGCAUCUUAUCUCCUUGCACCUGAGCCGGACUGCUGCAAAGACUGUCCGCUUGUCUGCGCCUGGACGGACCAGAUCCCCUGCAGCACUGGCAAUACACACAAAACCCUCCCUGUGGGGAAGGAACGGUCAUCCAGGAGCCGGCAAGUCAAGCAGACAAGAAACAGGACCAACCAAGCCAGGAGUCAGCCCAGGCAGCCCUGGGAUAUUGACUCUGAGUGGCCAAAUUCCUUCCAUCUGAACCACAGAUGCUGAUAAAAUAUUCUCAGCAAUGGA